UUGAAAUUUCGAGAUGAAGAUGGAUGCAAAUGAUGAGCAAGGAGAGCAGAUAGAGUGAAGAACACAGAGAAUUUUAAUUAAUAAGAGUUGUUUGGGAGAAUCCACAAGCCCAUCGGUGCCUUAAUGCUUAGUGCCUGCACUCAUCGGCUCCGACUCUCCAUCUCCAACAGCCAAAGCUGGUACAUGGUAAUGGCAUAUCUCCACUUUCCCUUCCUCCCCCCGGCAACAACUAACAAUGAGAGAGAGAGAGAGAGAGAGAGAGAGAGAAAGAGCAAGUGAACAGGAAGCUACAUCAAGGAACACGAUUUCGGUGAUUCUUUAAGGAUAGGCAGCUCCACCAAUGACCACCAUUCAAAGAAAUUGCUUCCAAUAAGGACUACUUUAUUCGAAGCUCUUCGCCAAACUGACCAAAGGAUUACUGCUUUCCUUUCUGCUACGAGUCAGCUCUUAAAGGACAUUCAACUAUCUGUCCAAGCGCCUUUACCAAAGUAUCUAACUGGAGAUCUACAGAGGCUUAUUCUGGAUGCCAUAUUUUCUAGUAAAACAUGGAGAUUAAUAUCUGUGAACUGAUUGCUAGCUGGUAAAAAAAAAAAAAAAGAAACAUAAACUUGCUAAUCAGUUUUGGAAAUGUUUCCUAAGAUCUGCUCUUUCCCUUAGUAUUAUUGUGUGUUGAUGCAAUUUCUAAUUGUAAGUCACUGUUACAGCCUGAAAUGAAGAGCACAUCCUUCACUUGCUGCAGAAACUGAUGUAUGCUUGGCUGUCAUCUAUUUCAAACACUUCUUGUUUAAACGCAGAAUGAAGCAUACACCCCAGAAAUUAUUAAUUUUCAUCACAUCUAGUGUAGAGGAGGCCUGUCAUUAAUGCUUGACACUUUCUGCAGAAGAUACUGAUGAUCCACAUCUGUGCAUGUUCUCUCUCUCUCCCCUCCCAACCUUCUGUUUCUUCAAACAUAGUUCUGACAGAUGUUAUCACAUGAAGCUAUAAGGAAGAUGUUUUUAGGUGACAAACAUGAGUGGAUGAGGCAUUCAAAUACUGAGGAGUCGAUGUCACUUGUUUCAACUUUGAGUCCUUCUCAAAAGGCAAUACUUUUGUAGUGUAUCAUCCUUGCACUCAGGAAGAUAUCACCUUCAAGUGCACUUUUUGGAUGGAUGGUUCAAAACUCAAAUAGUUGUUGAACCUGUCAGAUAAGAUCUGUUUUCCCUGUUUAAAGAAACAUUAAGUUAUAUUCUUUGAUCCCUGAAGCAUACAUCAAAAUGCAUAUAGUUUCUAUUAGAGAAUGUAAAGGUGUUGUAUUACAUCAUGGUUAGUACAAAAAUUCAUUUGAAGGAAUGUAUAUAUGCCAACAGUUGACAUUUGCAUCCUUGUCUUCUACCUAAUACCCACAAGCUCAAAAAGUGUGUUGUACUCAAAAGAAGCAUUUUCUAUUUUAUUUCUUAGUUUCCACAACUAAAUUUUAUUUUUCAAAGAACUAUUUUUUAUGCUCUGAAAAAUAGUCAAGAUUGUGGUGAGAGGUAUUCAUGAUAUCAUAAAAUAGGAAAUGAAAAUGAUUGAAAUAGAAUAUACAUAAGGACAAGCAUUAGCAAUGGGAUGUUUGUAAUACUUAGUUUGGCAGGUAGGUGUACUCUUCUUGUGUUAAGAUAAAGAAACUAAGGAAACCCUUUCAUAUGGUUCUGAUGCUAGCUUUCAGCAGUUAUACAGUUGAGAAGUUUAGUUAACUUGUGGCCCCAGAAAUCCUUAUUCUCAAAUUAGGUGUCUAGGCAUCCUAUCAUACCAUAUUAACUAGGAGAAGAUCCAAUCUUUUUCAUCCGAACCUCAAACAGAAAAGGACUUUAUCCGAGGGAUCUGCAAUGACUACAUAAAGUAUCUUUUCUAUUUGCAGCUCUGGGUAGGUGGAGUCCCUUAGUGUGAGCUUUCCACCAAUUAGAUGUUAAUCAGCAACAACAUUAAUUCCCUCUAUCCUCUCCACCAAUUAGAUUAGGUUAAGCAGCCUUGAUUAGAAUAUGAUCACUAGACUCCUACUCGCGACCAGUCAUAGGCAAUUCAAAGAAAUGGCAAUACCUUCUCAAUGGUCUUGUUCUGGUGAUCAAAUGGAAGGAUAUGUGGCCCACAAAAAAGAAAAAGAAUAAUAUCUAAAUAGAAAUUAUAACAUUUUUCUAUUGUUAUCAUUUUUCAAUUAAGGGUAUUAUUAUCAUUUUUCAAUUAAGGGUAUGUUGAGAAUACUUUUUCUUUUGGUAUUGAAUGGCAGUUGAUCUCUGGCUAGGAGACUGAUGCAACAAGAAAUUCUAGAGCUUGAAGUUCUCAUUAAUGCCCACGUGUAGAAGAACUCGAAGAUGAAAACUAACUCUUGGGAAUCAAGAAAAUCUGUGAUGGCUACAAGAGUAGGGAUUGCAUUAAAAAUUUCUUCAAGGUCAGAAGAAGAGAUCAGAGAGAGUUUUGUUAAGAGUAGAAGAAAACGGCUGAGGGGUUAGCAGCGACAGCAACCAAUCAGUUGGGAAAUUGUGGGUGUAAGAUGGGAGAUGGCUUUCCCUCACUAUUUUAACAAGCAAUUUCUCCUACUUGGAGAAUGGUAGGCCAACGGUCAAAAGAAGACGCACCAUCUCUGAUUUUUUUUUUUUUUUUUUUAUUUAUAUACUUCACAGAAAAAAAAAAAAUCUCUCUAAGGAUGAUGCUGUAAUAUUUGAGUUUUUUUUUUUUAAUGUUUCAAUGAAUAGUUUUAAAAUGUA